rnacentral:rRNA from 1 species
UACAGAGGGGGCAAGCGUUGUUCGGAAUUACUGGGCGUAAAGGGCGCGUAGGCGGCCGCGCAAGUCUGGCGUGAAAGCCCCGGGCUCAGCCCGGGAAGUGGGCUCGAAACUGCACGGCUCGAGUGCCGGAGGGGAGAGUGGAAUUCCUGGUGUAGCGGUGAAAUGCGUAGAUAUCAGGAGGAAUACCGGUGGCGAAAGCGACUCUCUGGACGGCAACUGACGCUGAGGCACGAAAGCGUGGGGAGCAAACAGG